rnacentral:rRNA from 1 species
AUUGAACGCUGGCGGCGUGCCUAACACAUGCAAGUCGAGCGGUAACAGGUGUAGCAAUACAUGCUGACGAGCGGCGAACGGGUGAGUAAUGCUUCGGAAUCUACCCAAUGGUGGGGAAUAACCAGCCGAAAGGUUGGCUAAUACCGCAUACGUCCCACGGGAGAAAAGCAGGGGAUCGCAAGACCUUGCGCCAAUGGAUGAGCCGAAGUCGGAUUANCUAGUUGGAGGGUAACGGCCUACCAAGCGACGAUCCGUANCUGUCUGAGAGGACGACCAGCCACACUGGGACUGAGACACGGCCCAGACUCCUACGGGA